UCCCCAUAAAGUCUAGGCGGUUAGGAUAGCUGCUCUCACCCAGCAGACCCGGGUUCGAGUCCCGGUGUGGGAA
rnacentral:tRNA from 1 species